rnacentral:sRNA from 1 species
UGUAGCCCAACAACAAAAUUUGUAUU